UUUUAUGGAGAGUUUGAUCCUGGCUCAGGAUGAACGCUGGCGGCGUGCUUAACACAUGCAAGUCGAACGGUGAAGCUCAGCUUGCUGGGUGGAUCAGUGGCGAACGGGUGAGUAACACGUGAGCAACCUGCCCCGGACUCUGGGAUAAGCGCUGGAAACGGCGUCUAAUACUGGAUAUGAGCUGCGAAGGCAUCUUCAGCAGCUGGAAAGAUUUUUUGGUCUGGGAUGGGCUCGCGGCCUAUCAGCUUGUUGGUGAGGUAAUGGCUCACCAAGGCGUCGACGGGUAGCCGGCCUGAGAGGGUGACCGGCCACACUGGGACUGAGACACGGCCCAGACUCCUACGGGAGGCAGCAGUGGGGAAUAUUGCACAAUGGGCGAAAGCCUGAUGCAGCAACGCCGCGUGAGGGACGACGGCCUUCGGGUUGUAAACCUCUUUUAGCAAGGAAGAAGCGAAAGUGACGGUACUUGCAGAAAAAGCGCCGGCUAACUACGUGCCAGCAGCCGCGGUAAUACGUAGGGCGCAAGCGUUAUCCGGAAUUAUUGGGCGUAAAGAGCUCGUAGGCGGUCUGUCGCGUCUGCUGUGAAAACCCGAGGCUCAACCUCGGGCCUGCAGUGGGUACGGGCAGACUAGAGUGCGGUAGGGGAGAUUGGAAUUCCUGGUGUAGCGGUGGAAUGCGCAGAUAUCAGGAGGAACACCGAUGGCGAAGGCAGAUCUCUGGGCCGUAACUGACGCUGAGGAGCGAAAGGGUGGGGAGCAAACAGGCUUAGAUACCCUGGUAGUCCACCCCGUAAACGUUGGGAACUAGUUGUGGGGUCCAUUCCACGGAUUCCGUGACGCAGCUAACGCAUUAAGUUCCCCGCCUGGGGAGUACGGCCGCAAGGCUAAAACUCAAAGGAAUUGACGGGGACCCGCACAAGCGGCGGAGCAUGCGGAUUAAUUCGAUGCAACGCGAAGAACCUUACCAAGGCUUGACAUACACGAGAACGCUGCAGAAAUGUAGAACUCUUUGGACACUCGUGAACAGGUGGUGCAUGGUUGUCGUCAGCUCGUGUCGUGAGAUGUUGGGUUAAGUCCCGCAACGAGCGCAACCCUCGUUCUAUGUUGCCAGCACGUAAUGGUGGGAACUCAUGGGAUACUGCCGGGGUCAACUCGGAGGAAGGUGGGGAUGACGUCAAAUCAUCAUGCCCCUUAUGUCUUGGGCUUCACGCAUGCUACAAUGGCCGGUACAAAGGGCUGCAAUACCGUGAGGUGGAGCGAAUCCCAAAAAGCCGGUCCCAGUUCGGAUUGAGGUCUGCAACUCGACCUCAUGAAGUCGGAGUCGCUAGUAAUCGCAGAUCAGCAACGCUGCGGUGAAUACGUUCCCGGGUCUUGUACACACCGCCCGUCAAGUCAUGAAAGUCGGUAACACCUGAAGCCGGUGGCCCAACCCUUGUGGAGGGAGCCGUCGAAGGUGGGAUCGGUAAUUAGGACUAAGUCGUAACAAGGUAGCCGUACCGGAAGGUGCGGCUGGAUCACCUCCUUUCUAAGGA
rnacentral:rRNA from 1 species